rnacentral:rRNA from 1 species
UACAGAGGGUGCGAGCGUUAAUCGGAAUUACUGGGCGUAAAGCGUGCGUAGACGGUAAUGUAAGUCAGAUGUGAAAGCCCCGGGCUCAACCUGGGAAUUGCAUUUGAGACUGCAUUGCUUGGGUGCGGAAGAGGGAAGCGGAAUUUCCGGUGUAGCGGUGAAAUGCGUAGAUAUCGGAAGGAACACCAGCGGCGAAGGCGGCCUUCUGGACCAAUACUGACGCUCAUGCACGAAAGCGUGGGGAGCAAACAGG